UACGAAGGGGGCUAGCGUUGUUCGGAAUUACUGGGCGUAAAGGGCUCGUAGGCGGCCAACUAAGUCGGAUGUGAAAUCCCCAGGCUUAACUUGGGAACUGCAUCCGAUACUGGAUGGCUUGAAUCCGGGAGAGGGAUGCGGAAUUCCAGGUGUAGCGGUGAAAUGCGUAGAUAUCUGGAGGAACACCGGUGGCGAAGGCGGCAUCCUGGACCGGCAUUGACGCUGAUGAGCGAAAGCCAGGGGAGCAAACGGG
rnacentral:rRNA from 1 species